rnacentral:rRNA from 1 species
UACGGGGGGAGCAAGCGUUGUUCGGAUUUACUGGGCGUAAAGGGCGCGUAGGCGGUCAGCACAAGUCAGUUGUGAAAUCUCCGGGCUUAACUCGGAAAGGUCAACUGAUACUGUGCGACUAGAGUGCGGAAGGGGCAACUGGAAUUCUCGGUGUAGCGGUGAAAUGCGUAGAUAUCGAGAGGAACACCUGCGGCGAAGGCGGGUUGCUGGGCUGACACUGACGCUGAGGCGCGAAGGCCAGGGGAGCAAACGGG